rnacentral:rRNA from 1 species
GAGGUUUGAUCAUGGCUCAGAUUGAACGCUGGCGGCAUGCCUUACACAUGCAAGUCGAACGGCAGCACGGGAGCUUGCUCCUGGUGGCGAGUGACGAACGGGUGAGUAAUGCAUCGGAACGUAUCCUGGAGUGGGGGAUAACGUAGCGAAAGUUACGCUAAUACCGCAUAUUCUGUGAGCAGGAAAGCGGGGGACCUUCGGGCCUCGCGCUCUUGGAGCGGCCGAUGUCGGAUUAGCUAGUUGGUGAGGUAAAGGCUCACCAAGGCGACGAUCCGUAGCAGGUCUGAGAGGAUGAUCUGCCACACUGGAACUGAGACACGGUCCAGACUCCUACGAGAGGCAGCAGUGGGGAAUUUUGGACAAUGGGGGCAACCCUGAUCCAGCCAUGCCGCGUGAGUGAAGAAGGCCUCGGUUGUAAG